GAGUUGUUGGAGACAAAAUACAUGCAGCCUCCAGCAUAUUGUUACUGAAGCUGAACCAAACACUCAGACUCACUAUCAAUUCUCAUCACCAUGAAGAUGAUGUUGACCAUCGCUCUGCUCCUCAGUGUUGGCUUUGCACUGACUGAUGCAAUGUCUGUUCCAGAAUUGAGAAACGACCUGAACAGACCAGGUUGGAAGGUCAUCAAGAACUGUGUGAAAGUGACAACGACCGUGGUGGAGGAGUUUGACAACAUGCCGCCGCAGGAGAAGGAGACGGUUCAGAUCUUCGGGGGACCAGAGUGUGAGAACGACAAUGAGAGAAGCAAAAGAGGAUUUGUUCGCAUCGGCCGACAACUCUCCAAUUACUGAAGCCUUGAGUAGUGUCACCUGGAGAAGACUGGCCUGGCCUCCCCAGUUUACGUACGUGGCCCUUGACUGUAGGUAUCCGGUGACAGUGGACGAUCCAGUACAGUGACGGGCAGUGAAGACGACAUGGGAAUGUGGGAUAAUCAUGAAUUAGAAAGUUCAAUUAAAUUUAUUGGAUUCACUCCAA